AUUUUGCGAAACAGUCGAGUGUCACGGCGACACAACGCGCCAAAUAAGACGAACGAUGGCGAACAUUAAAUACGAAACGAUCGGUGGAUGGAUGGGAUCGGGUCGACAUUAAUGACGCGAACGCUACUUUUAAAUCGUCCUGGCGGUGUGGCCAUAUCGAGGAACCGCAGCGUGGGUCGCUACGCGUGAUUGCUGUUUACAUACAAGACGAACGCGAGGUGGAAACGAGACAAAAAGCUAAGAACGCGAGGAAAAAACGCGAGGUACAAGCGCCGUGCAGGAAAUGCGCCACAACAGCAUCGCGUUUCACCAUCAAGAGCAAUGCCAAUUUAGGAAGAUUCAAUGAAAAUCACGAAAAUUAUUGUUUCGUCCGAGCCACUUAAAACUUUAAAAUUGAGAAGCAAAGUGAUACUGUUAGAAGCAUUGUAUUUUUUAAUUUAUCUGCAAAUCUGUUACUAUCUAUGUUAUCUUUUUCCAACAAAUGGACUUUGGUUUUAGAAAAUUGAACAAUAAGGUUGCGAUACUUGCAAAGAGUGGGGUUGAGAUUUUGGCUUCUGAGAGGUGUAUUUCAUGAUUCACAAAUUGAGAGAUGAAUGAUUUUUGUAAAUGUUCUAAUGGGUGAGCUAUCGCGACCUGUGUCUACAAUUCUACUUGUUAGGUAUAGAAAUUGAAUGAUUUGUUUCUUUUAAUGGACGAUGUAGUAGAAUGGUAAUUACGCUUGAUGUAUUAUGCAUUACGUAUGCAAGGAAUGCUUGUGUAUCAGAUAGAGGCGCGGUGAAUAACAAUGAUUUGAACUCGCUUCUUAAAUAAGCGAGUUACAUAUUCUCAGCGUUUGUGCUCGAGAAUUACGGAAAACGAAAGCAAUGGCGUAUGCUGGAAUGACGAUUCCACCGCAAGGAGGAAUAGGAAUUACGUAGCUGCGAAUCUAGGAGGUGUGUGUGCGCGCGUAUGUGUAUUCAGCAGGUGAAAUGCAUCCAAGAGUUGUUCAUACGAAAGAGGAAUACAAAUAUUUGCUAAUAGUCAUAGGCUGUAAAUAACCGUGACGUCUUUCCUUGGAAAUACAAGCAGCAAAAUUUAUUUCUUCGAAAGUAUUACAAUACAAGCAACACGAA
rnacentral:misc_RNA from 1 species